ACGUGUCUCUCUUUGCUGCCGCCGUGCCGUCUGCUCGCUUCGCGUGCGCAUGCGCUAGCACACAGCGGUUUGUUUGCUUGAGGAUGAGAUUUGUGUUUGUGGUAGCGGUGAAGCAACUUUGCCAAAUAUUCCGUUCAAGUUCCUCGCUGGGUGUCCCGCUCGUCCGUCGAUGUUCAACAGAUGCAGCAAGUGCCAGUCCACUUUUUCUCAGCUGCACCUUCUCAGUCCAGGCAGCAACAGCACCAGGUGAAUGUAGGUACACAACUUCCAAGUGAAAGACGCACGAGUGCAAUUCUGAAGCUGGUAAGUACUGUCAGGGACACUUCUAACUUUCUACUCGUUUCCGUGGUCUCGCUCCGAUAAGCGCCACGCUAGCGGGCGGGAGGCGCUAGAUCCUGAGGGGUAUCAUUCGUUGUGUUCGUACGCCUCGGCGGCGGUGGCUAUGAAUGUAGUGCCCUGGUCAGCGCAUGAAGACAUCAAUUGUUCUCAGUCGUCGGUUUCACGCUGUCGUAGGUGGACGUGUGUGUGUUGUGCUUCUUGUUUCAUGCUGAUUACCACAUGGAGGUGGAGCCCCUGUAGCUGACCAGAAAGGCCAAGACUGUCAGAUGCCAUACAUGAAUUGGGUAUGGGAUAGAGAGAGAAGUAUUGGGAUUCUAUUGGAGAAUUUGCAUACCCCUGCUUAUGCUAGUCCUCACUAGGCCAACCAAAGCAGGCACACAAUUGUUCUCGUGUUGAGCUGACUGAUUUGUAACUGACACUGUUUACUUAUAAUUCUCAGUAAUUUCACACUACUCACAAUUAUGUUUUACUUUCAAGUUCAAGUUCUUCAAGGAGAGCUGACCCAGCAGAAGGCCUCUGGUAGCAUACUGUAAACAAGUGCGCCACUCCCACAGGAUUAUUGCAUUGGCCUUUUGCAUUCAUGCCUGAAUGCGGUCCAGGGCAUCCCAAGGGCACCAGCUGCGUGACGAUGCCCCACCCCACGGAUUGUCUUAUGCCAACAGCAUGCUCCCGUAGGGAACUAUGGACACUAGAAGAUGGACUGCGGACAUGCUAAGGAAUUCUUCAGUAGCUUUAUGGUGCACUGGAGAAGAAACAGCAGACCUGGACGAAGUAAACAAACGGCCCUUAUCAGGGCCACCAUAUGUCUGCCACAAUGGCUAGCGUUCUGCUGAUAGAACAAACCCUGAUGGUGAUAGAAGAUCACUGAACUAACCAUAACUCAAGCAUGAUGGCUACAACAGUGCUGAUAGAAAAGAAUCAUUGCAGUUACAAAUGCCAUACAUUUCAUUAAGCACUGUAUUUUCGAUGACAGUAAUAUUUAGAGUUGAAGGAGUCAUGUUCUGCCACUUUUUGGAUGGUCAAAGUAUGCAUCACAGAACAUAUUGCUAAGGUGAACAGUAUGUGGAACCGACUAUAACUCCUGUUAUUCAUUCACACAGAAAAUAUGAAGCAGAAAAUGUCGAGGUUGUUGCGAGAGACCUGUACUAUGUCUGUUCUAUGUCUUUUGCAAAAGCUAUCACCGUUUCUCGACAAAAGUGACGUGGAGAAUGUACUGGAUGCCUGUCAUAUUCACAGUGGGUUAUGGCUUCGGGAUUGCUAUGUUGUGUUUAAUGAGAAGUGCAGAAAUUUGGGCCAGUUGGUACAUAACUGCAAAAGGGAAUAAGAGUAUACAGACGGGACAAUGGAGGGACAGAGCUGCUUACAACUAAACUAUAAUGAUAGGAAACCCGACGCAGCCAUGUGCGCAGGUGCAUUGCUAUCCCACCAUGUCAAAACAACGAGUACAGUUCUAGACAAAUGUUAGAGAACAUGCUCCGGCGCGUUCCUUCCUCAGAGUGACAGCAAAUGGGACCGUACAGACUUAGACAUGCUCGUAUAGGUAGCAGAGUCACCUGUAUGCAAGUCCGUAGGAUACCAUUCGCUGCCAGCUUGUCACUCGGAGGGAGUAGUGUGCCAGAGCAUGUUCCAUAAACUUUUGUCCAGCACUUUACAAGUAUAAAACUGAUUAACAAUGUAGAGUGGGCUAGUUGGUAUGACAUCUUAGACUAUGGAGCUACGGCAGACAAGGAGAAUACACCACUCCAUAAUCAACUGGUUUAUUUCUGGAAAAAGAGAAAAGGAAGGUUGAACGUUGGGAUUGGGGGUUUUGAGACGACCUGAUUAAAAAGGAACUUUACACCUAGUGGUGAUCUUUUCCUGCUGUCCUUGUCUGCCAUAGCUCCGUAGUCGAAAUCUGUACAAGUAUAUCAGACAAGACCCUCAAAAUGACAUUUUUAGGCAUGUGCAAACAAAACCACCAUAGUGAUAAGGGGUGACACAAGUGAAAAAAAAAUCCUAUGAUUUUAAUAAAAAUUCAAGUUCCUUAUCCAUCAGACAAAUUGAAGCUUCAGUAGUACAACUGGAAGAGCCACUUCUUAUUUCAGCCACUUCCACUACAUCUCUUUCGAACUGACAGUUUGCUUUUCUUUUUGGCUGAGUUCUUUCAAAAGCCGGGUUUUAAUGUCACUAUUUAAUAUAGUAUGUACGCAAGUUGUAAUCGAAAAAAAAAGAAAAAAGUGUACCGCACCGCACGCGAAUACCAGGUUGCCGUGUCCGUAAUUUUGUGAGGUUCGAGAGCCACAAGAACUGCUCGCAUGCAGUGUAUUCUACCUAACAUGGACAGCGCAGCAGCAGUACGGCGGGCCAGGCUGAAAACAAUGCCUGAAAAUCUGUUCUCCUAAUUCGUCUUUAAAUUUCGAGAGGGUAGCUUCGUUCUCUUUGGUGGCCAAGAGGCCGCGUGUUUGAGAUCCCUGUAGAUAGGGCAACCGCUUUCGAAACUAAACAACAAGGAUCAGAAACGUAACGCUGUCCUAUAUCUGCGCAAAAGCACCAUAGUUCAUGUACAAAGCAGGUCUUCCAAGGACAUGAACGGGUUUUUCCGGGGAACCACCACCGUGGGAAAACAGACACAAGUGCAGGUGGGAAAUGUGAAUCAUGUGUCGCCCCCAAGAUUUUUCUAGAAUUUCUUUGAGAGAUGUUCAAAAUUUAGUUUGCAGUUUAUUGAGUUUUCAUAUUGCAUACAGAGGUUCAAUUACUUUAUAUAUGGUUAUCUCUAAAUUAAAAACCCGAGACUGGGAGGACAAAAAACGACAAGCUUGUCUGUGUUAUGGAUCUAUACCACCAGCUCGCUUGCUACCUCUCUAUCCUCUCGGUACUGUGUAUAUAUUUUUGUCAUUUUCUUUGGGGACUGUGUUGCACGAUUUACCCUAAACAUACCCGAUCAUCGUGAUCAUUUUGUGACCUUAGUAUCAAUAAAGAAGUAUCCUUGA